UAUAAAGUGAAUAACAGGCUUUUGCCCUAAGGUCUCACACACACUUACGCGCAUUUGAUGGGACAGCGCACACACUUUCUGCACUUACAGUGGAAACACUCGGUCUGUGGAGGGAAAUAAGCGUGUGCUGUUAACGUGCAUGCUGUACCCAAAAGAAGUUUAGGCAGCCAGUGAGGAUUUCAGUGGAUUUGACACAACACCUGCUGAAUAUGCUCAUGACUGGAGAUUAAAAAUGGAAUAUUUCUUGCCCAGACAAGGAAACUAAACAUUUCGUAUAUCAGAAGAUCCCUUUGUAUGGGUAAAAUAUAAGUGCACUGGAAAUUACUGCAAACGACUCUGGAGGAACAACAAUUGGCUCUUUCGUUGUAGGUGGUAAAAGAACAAACCCCCGAAGCAUUCUCAAAGUAUGCCACAAAAACCCGUAUUCUAGAACAUUUCAUAUUUCACGACAUUUCACAUUAGAAUAAGAAUGCAUUAAAAAACAUUUGCAUCACAAGUGUUCUAGAACCUGCCAGGCAUCAUUUCAGGUUCCAUGAAUGUGACUCUGGGAAAUCAUUGUGUUGAGUGAUAUACGUCUAGUACUGAGAUCUGUUCUAAACUCACAAUACAAAGAUCUGAAUAGUUUCAGAUUCCCCCAGAAACCUGAAAAUUCCCAUUUUGGCUUUUCGUCCUUAUAGCAUUUAGAAACUAUAAAGACGCAUUGUUAGAUUAACUAUAACACCAUGAUGGAAUUCUGGUUUGUAUGUCUGCAUCCCAGUUUGUAUAUGCAUUGUAUAUUGGCAAGAUGCAAAAAUUUGUGUAUCCCAAAUUAUAUUCCAUUGAAAAUAGAAAGCAUAAUUGGAUGAUAUAAUUUUCUAGUGGAUUUUCAAAAUACACAUCCAUGCAUGUUUUUUUUUUUCUUUUUUUUUCUCUGAUACGACCACAAUCCCUUGCACGUCAGACGUUUUUCUGAGUACUAUGACACUAUUUUCACACUUUCAGCUUUUUAAGUUUAAGGUUUUAAAUUAUGAAUUAAGCUAAAUGUUAAAAUGUUAAAUGUUAAAUUUACUUAUCCUCAGGCCAUCCAAGAUGUAGAUGACUUUGUUUCUUCAUCAUAAAAGAUUUGGAGUAAUAUAGCAUUACGUCACUUGCUCACCAAUGGUUCCUCUAAAGUGAAUGGGUGCCGUCAGAAUGAGAGUCCAAACAGCUGAUAAAACAUCAUAAAAAUCUACAAAUAAUCCACACAGUCCAUCGGUUUUUCUUGUGAAGUGAAAAGCUGCAUGUUUGAAAGAAACAAAUCUAAAGUCAUUUUAACUUGAAACUGUCACUUCUGGCCAAAAUGUGGGUCCAUAAUCCAUAAUAAUGUUUUUUUCCAGUGAAAAAGUCCAUUAGUCCCUCUGUUCUGAUGAAGACACAAACACAUCUACAACUUGGAUGGCCUGAGGGUAUGUCCAGUGUGUGUGGUUACGGACGCGGUCGCUCUCUCGGGCGAUGUCAGAGGCGUUCUGGAUAACCAGCUCGUCAUACGCCCUCAGACCGCUGUCCUCCACGUACUGCAGGAAAUGUGUGCACUCGUCUUCCCCGG